CUGAUUUGCUGGCCUCAGUGCUGCACUGCCCUGGCCUGUCUGGACAAACCUGGAGAGGACAAAGACUAACCAAGGGUUACUGUCCAUUGGAGCAGAGUGUGUAACUCUUCCCUUUUAAAUCUAAAAGUUUUAGUCUACCCUGUCAUCUCCUUCCAGUUUAUCAUAAAUAUCUACGGCAUUUCCUGUAUGUUCACUGUUUUGGUCACUUAAAUGUUUCCCUGCAUGUUUUGAUGUGGCACUGGGUACACUACAUCAAUCAUUUUCUGAAGCACAGAAUUUUGAUGCCUAGAUACUUUAUUGCAAAAUCAUGUCCUUGAAUCCUUGAAUUAUAAACCACACACACAGUUCUGUAGGCAUCACAGGCCUCGUGGGCUGGUCUGAAGUGUUUCUGCGUUUCCUGCAGGUGGAUGUGGUUUGUGGAGAUCACCUCCUAGAUCACUACCAGUCUCUCAAAGACAUUCAGAACUCUGUUGGCGAAGAGGCGUUACAGGAUGGUCUGUUGGUGCUGCACUUCGGCUUGGUCCUGCCCUCCCAGUCUUGACUACAAGAGAUGGAUAGACUUUGUUUCUCUUUAUCAGACUCAUCAUAAUGUGGAGUAAAAGUUCUACGUUAGCAUUAUAACUGCUCCGCAACUUAAAUGGAACUACGAAGUGUAACAGUGAUGUAAAAUGUAACCCUGAACUCCACUGUUCACACUAUAGCAUUACAUUUUUCAUCUUGUUGUCAGGGAAACACAUGUCCCUGCUGGACAUGCAUUUGAUUUACUGAAGUGCCAGCAUGUAAAAGUGAAUUUUACCUGAUGAAUGAAAAUUACACAUCUAUUUCUACUGCCAAGGUAUCUUUUUAGGUAUCGUUCAGUGUGCUUCUGCUCCACACAAGAAUGUGACUGCUGUUGUAGCUAAAACUGGAAUGAAAUACUGUUAGUGAGUCUGGAACUGCUCAAAUUUCACAGUAAGUCUGUGAAGGCAAUACAUGCCUGAAAAGCUGCAUCAGUGUAGUUUACCUCUUUUUUUUUUUUGGAAACCAGGGACAAACAUCUUAAUUUUUUUCUAUUUAUGAUUUUAAGGGCUGACUGUGAUUUCAGAUAACUGGUUUAAAGGGCUUAAACAAAAGUACCACUGCCAAAGGUUUGUGCGUGUUUAUAUAGAGAGUAUCUUUAAAUACAGCUUGCUUCUUGUUGAUUUACACAUUUAAUUUAAAGUUUAUAAUUUGUAUAGACUGCUGAUAUAAACUGAUUUAGUUGACUUGAUAAAACAUGCUUUCAGUACAACUCACCGGAGCACUAAAGAAGUUAUUUAAAGGGAGUUUGCAGAAAGACGUCUGUGAUAUGUUCUCUUAUACCUUUCCUACUUGCUUUUGUCACAAUGAAUUAAUAAAUGACUGCACAACUAA